UACGUAGGGGGCAAGCGUUGUCCGGAAUCAUUGGGCGUAAAGCGCGCGUAGGCGGCCCGGUAAGUCCGUUGUGAAAGUCAAAGGCUCAACCUUUGAACGCCGAUGGAUACUGCCGGGCUGGAGUCCGGAAGAGGCGAGUGGAAUUCCUGGUGUAGCGGUGGAAUGCGCAGAUAUCAGGAGGAACACCAAUAGCGGAGGCAGCUCGCUGGGACGGUACUGACGCUGAGGCGCGAAAGCGUGGGGAGCGAACAGG
rnacentral:rRNA from 1 species